rnacentral:rRNA from 4 species
GGAUCAUUGCACACACA